rnacentral:lncRNA from 1 species
UUACCAUUCAGUUGGCCAUUCAGUUUCGUGGCUUCUGUUUGCACAGAGCUGCGGCCUUUCUGCAAAGGUUUAUGACAAGUGCAUCCAGUGCCGGCCUUGAGCAAGUGUGAGCAGUGCCAUGGAACCAGGUGCUCUAACCAGCAGAAGAUAACCCGAAUGAUGUCUGCCUGUACCUCAAGAAUGAAGACAGAGUGAUCUGGCUUUAAAAAUGUAAUUUGAAUACUUUCUAAACAUCUAG